GACGAACGCUGGCGGCGUGCUUAACACAUGCAAGUCGAACGGAAAGGCCCUGCUUUUGUGGGGUGCUCGAGUGGCGAACGGGUGAGUAACACGUGAGUAACCUGCCCUUGACUUUGGGAUAACUUCAGGAAACUGGGGCUAAUACCGGAUAGGAGCUCCUGCUGCAUGGUGGGGGUUGGAAAGUUUCGGCGGUUGGGGAUGGACUCGCGGCUUAUCAGCUUGUUGGUGGGGUAGUGGCUUACCAAGGCUUUGACGGGUAGCCGGCCUGAGAGGGUGACCGGCCACAUUGGGACUGAGAUACGGCCCAGACUCCUACGGGAGGCAGCAGUGGGGAAUAUUGCACAAUGGGCGGAAGCCUGAUGCAGCAACGCCGCGUGCGGGAUGAAGGCCUUCGGGUUGUAAACCGCUUUCGCCUGUGACGAAGCGUGAGUGACGGUAAUGGGGAAAGAAGCACCGGCUAACUACGU
rnacentral:rRNA from 1 species